rnacentral:piRNA from 6 species
GGUCGCGGGUUCGAUCCCCGUACGGG